rnacentral:rRNA from 1 species
GCCGGAUCAACCAAGACGUGCCUACACAUGCAAAUCGAAUGAAAGAAUUAAUUAUUGUUUUCAUGGUGAACGGGUGAGUAACACAUAAGAAUCAGCUUUUAGAUAAGGCAUAAAAGAGUAAUAUCUUGGUAAUUCCUUAUAUGCGCAGCAGUGCUUAAAAAGGGGAGUCCCGUCUAAAAACGAGCUUAUGCCUGAUUAGCUAGUUGGCGAGUUAAAAGCUCACCAAGGCGAAGAUCAGUAGCUGGCCUGAGAGGGCGGCCAGCCACAUUGGGACUGAGACACGGCCCAAACUCCUACGGGAGGCAGCAGUGGGGAAUCUUCUGCAAUGGGCGCAAGCCUGACAGAGCGGCGUCGUGUGAAGGAAGAAGGCCUGAAAUAGGUUGUAAACUUCUUUUACUGAAUAAUGAAUAAUGACAACGCAGUAAAAAAGUAUCGGCUAACUCCGUGCCAGCAGCCGCGGUAAUACGGGGGAUGCAAGCGUUAUCCGGAAUCACUGGGCGUAAAGCGUCUGUAGGUGGUUUAGUGUGUUCUUAGUUAAAUUCUGAAGCCUAACUUCAUGAAAAGUAAGAAAACUAUUAGACUUGAGUACGAUAGGGGUAAGAGGAAUUCUUCGAGAAGUAGUGAAAUGCGAAGAUACGAAGGAGAAGAUCAUAAGCGAAGGCUUCUUACUGGGUCGUAACUGACACUGAGAGACGAAAGCUAGGGGAGCGAAUGGGAUUAGAUACCCCAGUAGUCCUAGCUGUAAACGAUGGAUAUUCGGUGCCGGAAAUUUUAUUAGAACAUUUCGGUACCCUAGCUAACGCGUUAAAUAUCCCGCCUGAGGAGUACGCUCGCAAGGGUGAAACUCAAAUGAAUUGACGGAAGGGC